AACGCUGGCGGCAGGCCUAACACAUGCAAGUCGAACGGGAUCUUCGGAUCUAGUGGCGGACGGGUUAGUAACGCGUGGGAACGUACCCUUUUCUACGGAAUAGCCUCGGGAAACUGAGAGUAAUACCGUAUACGCCCUUCGGGGGAAAGAUUUAUCGGAGAAGGAUCGGCCCGCGUAAGAUUAGAUAGUUGGUGGGGUAAUGGCCUACCAAGUCUACGAUCUUUAGCUGGUUUGAGAGGAUGAUCAGCAACACUGGGACUGAGACACGGCCCAGACUCCUACGGGAGGCAGCAGUGGGGAAUCUUAGACAAUGGGGGAAACCCUGAUCUAGCCAUGCCGCGUGAGUGACGAAGGCCUUAGGGUCGUAAAGCUCUUUCGCUGGGGAAGAUAAUGACUGUACCCAGUAAAGAAACCCCCGGCUAACUCCGUGCCAGCAGCCGCGGUAAUACGAGGGGGUUAGCGUUGUUCGGAAUUACUGGGCGUAAAGCGCGCGUAGGCGACUGGAAAGUUGGGGGGUGAAAUUCCGGGGCUUAACCC
rnacentral:rRNA from 1 species